rnacentral:rRNA from 1 species
GACGAACGCUGGCGGCGUGCUUAACACAUGCAAGUCGAGCGGUAAGGCCCUUUCGGGGGUACACGAGCGGCGAACGGGUGAGUAAUACGUGGGUGACCUGCCCUCAGCUCUGGGAUAAGCCUGGGAAACCGGGUCUAAUACCGGAUAUGACUCCAUGACGCAUGUUGUGGGGUGGAAAGCCUUGUGCGGCUGAGGAUGGGCCCGCGGCCUAUCAGCUUGUUGGUGGGGUGAUGGCCUACCAAGGCGACGACGGUAGCCGGCCUGAGAGGGCGACCGGCCACACUGGGACUGAGACACGGCCCAGACUCCUACGGGAGGCGGCAGUGGGGAAUCUUGCGCAAUGGCGAAAGCCUGACGCAGCGACGCCGCGUGA